rnacentral:rRNA from 1 species
AACGUAGGACACAAGCGUUAUCCGGAGUUACUGGGCGUAAAGGGCGUGUAGGCGGAUCGGUAAGUCUACUCUGAAAGCUCCUGGCUAAACUGGGAGGGUGCGGCGGAGACUGGAGUGCUAGAGUGUGGGAGAGGUAAGCGGAAUUCCUGGUGUAGCGGUGAAAUGCGUAGAUAUCAGGAGGAACACCUGUGGUGUAGACAGCUUACUGGACCACGACUGACGCUGAGACACGAAAGCGUGGGUAGCAAACAGG